rnacentral:lncRNA from 1 species
AAUGUUUUUAGGUUCUAAGUGUGAAACAAAAGUUAGGUGAUUAUUUAAGUUUCUAAGAGAAGCUCUAGUUCUAAUAGGUUGUGAUGAAUUAUCUAAUAUUAAUUCUUUAGGGUGACCGUAUGCAUACCUCCAAGCCUUUGUAAGCCCAUGAUCAUCAAUUACCUCUUGGCUUGUUGAAGUUUCUCCAAUUUGUUUCGGUUCAUUCUCUUGUAAUGUCAUAUCAUCUAUCUUUUUCUCAAGUAUUUCUGCAUCA